GAAAUGCGAUAAGUAAUGUGAAUUGCAGAAUUCAGUGAAUCAUCGAAUCUUUGAACGCACAUUGCGCCCGCCAGUAUUCUGGCGGGCAUGCCUGUCCGAGCGUCAUUUCAACCAUCAAGCCCCCGGGCUUGUGUUGGGGACCUGCGGCUGCCCGCAGGCCCUGAAAACCAGUGGCGGGCUCGCUGUCACACCGAGCGUAGUAGCAAUCACCUCGCUCAGGGCGUGCUGCGGGUUCCGGCCGUUAAACAGCCUUACAAAACCCAAGGUUGACCUCGGAUCAGGUAGGAAGACCCGCUGAACUUAAG
rnacentral:misc_RNA from 1 species